rnacentral:rRNA from 1 species
CGCGGCCUAUCAGCUUGUUGGAGAGGUAACGGCUCACCAAGGCAUCGACGGGUAGCUGGUCUGAGAGGAUGAUCAGCCACACUGGAACUGAGACACGGUCCAGACUCCUACGGGAGGCAGCAGUGGGGAAUCUUGCACAAUGGGCGCAAGCCUGAUGCAGCAACGCCGCGUGCGGGAAGAAGGCCCUAGGGUUGUAAACCGCUUUCAGGAGGGAAGAAAAUGACGGUACCUCCAGAAGAAGGUGCGGCCAACUACGUGCCAGCAGCCGCGGUGACACGUAGGCACCAAGCGUUAUCCGGAUUUAUUGGGCGUAAAGAGCUCGUAGGCGGUUCGGUAAGUCGGGUGUGGAAAUCCAAGGCUCAACCUUGGGACGCCACCCGAUACUGCUGUGACUCGAGUGCAGUAGGGGAGCAGGGAAUUCCUGGUGUAGCGGUGAAAUGCGCAGAUAUCAGGAGGAACACCAGUGGCGAAGGCGCUGCUCUGGGCUGUAACUGACGCUGAGGAGCGAAAGCAUGGGUAGCAAACAGGAUUAGAUACCCUGGUAGUCCAUGCCGUAAACGUUGGGCACUAGGUGUGGGUCUCAACCAACGAGAUCCGCGCCGUCGCUAACGCAUUAAGUGCCCCGCCUGGGGAGUACGG